CCGCACCAUCGUCCUGUCCUCACAAUUCCCGUGUCUAGGUUCUCCGUGGCGGUAAGAACCUAGACACGUGAAAGGCGCAGACUCGCCGCUUGUGUGCUGUCGGUGAAAAUUUCGGUGCAUAUUGACGGUGCAGGCCAGUUUAUAUGAAUGGGAGAUUGUGGCUAGUCCCCCAAAUUGAUUUGAUUAGGUGGGGUCCAACUUGGUGAAUGCAAAGAGCAUACCCCUAGAACAUGUUGCCAACUUGGUGUUUGUCUAGGAUCCCACUAUAAUGCCUUUAGAUCACAUGGUUUUGUAACAGUUGUGUUGGAUUCCAUGUACUUCAACAUUGGUUGGUUGCACUUUAAAUGUCAUGAUAAAUUUCA